rnacentral:rRNA from 1 species
GUUUACCACGGUGUGGUUCAUGACUGGGGUGAAGUCGUAACAAGGUAGCCCUAGGGGAACCUGGGGCUGGAUCACCUCCUUAC